ACCCAAAAUACCUAGGAUCCUUUAUUUCUUUCUCAAGAUGAAAGAAAACACAUGUACCACAUGUGUUCCAUUCAGUAGGAUACAACUAUAAAUUCUAUUUGUAUAUGCAUAUCAUGCAAAACUAAACAGGGAAACAACAAAAAUGUUUCAAGACACACAAGCUCAUACAUAUGCAUAUAGACUCACUUGAAUGAAUGUACGCACGCAUGCUCUAUCCCUAUGAGCACCUCUGAGAGACUGAACCAACACAUUAUUUUGAGAUUGACGAAGCCGCCACUGACGCCUCCGUAGUCGACGAAAAUGUCUCCUCCCACAGAACGAAUAUCCUCAGGAACCUUAAAAUAAAUCCAGAAAAAUGGAAGCAGCAGUGUCAAGUCUAUGAUUAAACCAUGAUGGACCGGUUCCAUCCAAAAAAAACUAACCAUGUUAGCUCGUCUCUGGGAAACCCAUAUUUUGCUAACCCUAAAGUGAGCAUGUACCUCACCCCAGCCUUGAACUCAAGAAAGAUGUAGGCCUUUCCACGCAGGUCCUCUGUUUCCAUCAGUCCACAAAGUACCGAGCAUCUGAUCGUGGUGACUUUCGCAAAGCCGGUAGGGUGGUGAUUUGUUU
rnacentral:lncRNA from 1 species